CCUACGGGAGGCAGCAGUGAGGAAUAUUGGUCAAUGGCCGUAAGGCUGAACCAGCCAAGUAGCGUGAGGGAAGACGGUCCUAUGGAUUGUAAACCUCUUUUGUCGGGGAGCAAAAGACGCCACGCGUGGCGUUCCGAGAGUACCCGAAGAAAAAGCAUCGGCUAACUCCGUGCCAGCAACCGCGGUAAUACGGAGGAUGCGAGCGUUAUCCGGAUUUAUUGGGUUUAAAGGGUGCGCAGGCGGAAGAUCAAGUCAGCGGUAAAAUUGAGAGGCUCAACCUCUUCGAGCCGUUGAAACUGGUUUUCUUGAGUGAGCGAGAAGUAUGCGGAAUGCGUGGUGUAGCGGUGAAAUGCAUAGAUAUCACGCAGAACUCCGAUUGCGAAGGCAGCAUACCGGCGCUCAACUGACGCUCAUGCACGAAAGUGUGGGUAUCGAACAGGAUUAGAUACCCCUGUAGUC
rnacentral:rRNA from 1 species